rnacentral:rRNA from 12 species
CACCGGCCGAAUGAACUAGCCCUGAAAAUGGAUGGCGCUCAAGCGUGUUACCCAUACCCCGCCGCUGGGGCAGGAUUUAUGCCCCAGCGAGUAGGCAGGCGUGGAGGUCCGUGACGAAGCCUUGGGGGUGACCCCGGGUCGAACGGCCUCUAGUGCAGAUCUUGGUGGUAGUAGCAAAUACUCAAAUGAGAACUUUGAGGACUGAAGUGGGGAAAGGUUCCGUGUGAACAGCAGUUGGACACGGGUUAGUCGAUCCUAAGAGAUAGGGAAACUCCGUUUUAAUG